rnacentral:rRNA from 1 species
CCUACGGGAGACAGCAGUGAGGAAUAUUGGUCAAUGGGCGAGAGCCUGAACCAGCCAAGUCGCGUGAGGGAGUACUGCCCUAUGGGUUGUAAACCUCUUUUGUCGGGGAGCAAAAGCCGGACGUUUCCGGCUGUGAGAGUACCCGCAGAAACCGUAUCGGCUAACUCCGUUCCAGCAGCCGCGGUAAUACGGAGGAUGCGAGCGUUAUCCGGAUUUAUUGGGUUUAAAGGGUGCGCAGGCGGAGGUGCAAGUCAGCGGGCAAAUUGCGGGGCUCAACCCCGUACUGCCGUUGAAACUGCAUCCCUGGAGUGCGCGAAAAGUAGGCGGAAUGCGUGGUGUAGCGGUGAAAUGCAUAGAUAACACGCAGAACUCCGAUUGCGAAGGCAGCAUACCGGCGCGCAACUGACGCUCAUGCACGAAAGCGUGGGUAUCGAACAGGAUUAGAUACCCUUGUAGUC